rnacentral:rRNA from 1 species
GACAGAGGGGGCAAGCGUUGCUCGGAAUUACUGGGCGUAAAGGGUGCGUAGGCGGUCGGGUAAGUCUGAUGUGAAAUCUCACAGCUUAACUGUGAAACUGCAUUGGAUACUAUUCGGCUUGAGAGUUGGAGGGGGGACUGGAAUUCUUGGUGUAGCAGUGAAAUGCGUAGAUAUCAAGAGGAACACCAGUGGCGAAGGCGAGUCCCUGGACAACUUCUGACGCUGAGGCACGAAAGCUAGGGGAGCAAACAGG